GUCUUUUUGAUUAUAAUCUAAAGUCUAAUCUGCUCAAUGAAAGUUUAAAUAGCCGCAGUAUUUUGACUGUGCAAAGGUAGCAUAAUAAUUAGUUUUUUAAUUAGGAACUUGUAUGAAUGAUUGGACAAGAAAAUUUCUGUCUCUUAUUAAUUUUUUUUGAACUUAAUUUUUAAGUUAAAAUGCUUAAAUUUUUGUAAAAGACGAGAAGACCCCAUAGAGUUUUAUUUUCAAAGAUUUUUAGUAUAAUUUAUUAAAAUUGAAAAAUUAGUUGGGGUGACUUAAAGAUUAAAUAAACUCUUUAAAUUUUGAUCAUUGAUUUGUGAAUUGUGAUUCUAAUUUUUUAAGUUUAAAUUAAAUUACCUUGGGGAUAACAGCGUAAUUUCUUUUAAGAGUUCUUAUCAAAUAAGAAGAUUGCGACCUCGAUGUUGGAUUAAAAUUUAUUUUAGGUGUAGAAGCUUAAAAAUUAAGUCUGUUCGACUUUUAAAAUUUU
rnacentral:rRNA from 1 species